UACGGAGGAUCCAAGCGUUAUCCGGAAUCAUUGGGUUUAAAGGGUCCGUAGGCGGUCUAAUAAGUCAGUGGUGAAAGCCCAUCGCUUAACGAUGGAACGGCCAUUGAUACUGUUAGACUUGAAUUAUUGGGAAGUAACUAGAAUAUGUAGUGUAGCGGUGAAAUGCUUGGAUAUUACAUGGAAUACCAAUUGCGAAGGCAGGUUACUAUCAAUAUAUUGACGCUGAUGGACGAAAGCGUGGGGAGCGAACAGG
rnacentral:rRNA from 1 species